GCUGUCCUCGUCUCGGAUGAACUAUUCCUUCACAGGAAUUCGACGCACUCUCAGCACUUCCACAGCCAUCGCCACGAAGAGAGAACCGAGCCGCAAAAGUCAAGCAAGCAGAGGAGCAUCUUGGUGGCAGGGAUUUAAAACUUUAACAAGACUCAAAUUGACACAGGCAGAGUGAAUGACUGGAUUUUUUCGACCAGGUAGGGUAAGUGAUUUCAAAACAUUUCAUCCGGUUUAUAUCGCGUAUAUGUUAUUUAUCUCGUAUAAGAUGCAUUUGGUUGAGUUACGCUGCAGUAAAGCACUUCAUUGUACGGUGAUUCGCUUUUCUGUGCGCAGCGCGAGCAGGACAAACAACAAUGC